rnacentral:rRNA from 1 species
AGAGCGCAGGGCGGAUGCCUUGGCGCCAGGAGCCGAUGAAGGACGGGGUCAGCACCGAUAUGCCACGGGGAGUCGCAAGCAGACAUAGAUCCGUGGAUGUCCGAAUGGGGAAACCCACUACUUGUAAUGAAGUAGUAUCUCUAUCUGAAUAAAAUAGGGUAGGGAAGGUAAGCGAGUGAACUGAAACAUCUAAGUAACUCGAGGAAAAGAAAUCAACAGAGAUUCCCUCAGUAGCGGCGAGCGAACGGGGAUUAGCCUAAACCGAUAAAAUGUCAAGCCCGCAAGCGUUGUUUUAUCGGGGUUGUACGGCUUAAUGUGAGCGAUUGCGGAAGCUCGCAGAGAAUAAAAAUCUAGCAGAAGUUUCUGGAAAGAAACACCAUAGAGGGUGAUAGUCCUGUAUGCGAAAGGUUUUUAAACUCUGUAUUAAGUUCGUGAGUAGCACGGGACACGAGAAAUCCCGUGUGAAUCUGGGAAGACCACUUUCCAAGGCUAAAUACUACCUGGCGACCGAUAGUGAACAGUACCGUGAGGGAAAGGUGAAAAGCACCCCGGGAGGGGAGUGAAAUAGAACCUGAAACCGUGCGCUUACAAACAGUCGGAGGACGUUAAUGUCUGACGGCGUACUUUUUGUAGAACGGACCGGCGAGUUAUGGUAGGCAGCGAGGUUAAGCAUGUAAGAUGCGAAGCCGCAGGGAAACCGAGUCUGAAAAGGGCGAAUGAGUUGUCUGCUGUAGACCCGAAACCGAGUGAGCUACCCAUGGCCAGGGUGAAGUUGAGGUAAUACUCAAUGGAGGCCCGAACCCACUAACGCUGAAAAGUUAGGGGAUGAGCUGUGGGUAGGGGUGAAAAGCCAAUCGAACUCGGAGAUAGCUGGUUCUCCUCGAAAUAGCUUUAGGGCUAGCCUCAGUAUAGACUGACGGAGGUAGAGCACUGAUUGAACUAGGGGCCCAACAAGGUUACCGAAUUCUUUCAAACUCCGAAUGCCGUUAGUUGUUUACUGGGAGUCAGACUGCGGGGGAUAAGCUCCGUAGUCGAAAGGGAAACAACCCAGACCGACAGCUAAGGUCCCCAAGUGCGAACUAAGUGGAAAAGGAUGUGGAGCUGCACAGACAACCAGGAUGUUGGCUUAGAAGCAGCCACUCAUUUAAAGAGUGCGUAAUAGCUCACUGGUCAAGUGGCUCUGCGCCGAAAAUGUAACGGGGCUCAAGUUCGCCACCGAAGCUUCGGAAGGAAACUUCUAUCCUCUUACUCUUAAAAGUUUAGUGGUUAGAAAAGUUCAUUUCGUCAAAACGAACAGUAAAUUUUAUUGGACCGUUUUGACCAAAUGCACUUUAAGCACAAGUAGCCACUAUAUCUUUAAGGGUAGGAUGAGAAGUUUUCUUGGUAGAGGAGCGUUCCAACAGCGUAGAAGGUAGACCGUAAGGACUGCUGGAGUGGUUGGAAGUGAGAAUGCCGGUAUUAGUAGCGAUAAGGAAGGUGAGAAUCCUUCCCGCCGAAAACCUAAGGAUUCCUGAGGAAGGUUCGUCCGCUCAGGGUAAGUCGGGACCUAAGAUGAGGCCGAAGGGCGUAAUCGAUGGACAACAGGUUGAUAUUCCUGUACCACCAAGGGUCGUCGUCUCCUUUGGAGACAAGAGUGAUGUGGUGACACAGAAGGGUAGGUCAUCAUCCAGAUGGAAGGGUGUCUAAACGAGUAGGGGGCAAGGUAGGCAAAUCCGCCUUGCAAUAACUCCGAGACGUGAUGGGGAAGCGAAUUAAGUAGCCGAACUGAUUGAUCCCAUGCUGUCAAGAAAAGCCACUAACGAGAUCUACGGUGCCCGUACCGUAAACCGACACAGGUAGGUGAGGAGAGAAUCCUAAGGCGCGCGAGAGAACCCCUGUUAAGGAACUAGGCAAAAUGACUCCGUAACUUCGGGAUAAGGAGUGCCUUUGUAGUGUGAAGUUAAUCAAAUGGAGCACGAAGAGGCCGCAGAGAAAUGGCCCAAGCGACUGUUUAUCAAAAACACAGGUCUCUGCUAAGUGGCAACACGAAGUAUAGGGACUGACGCCUGCCCAAUGCCGGAAGGUUAAGAGGAGAGGUUAUUCAUAUCUUCGGAUAUGGAGAAGCUUUGAAUUGAAGCCCCGGUCAAUGGCGGCCGUAACUAUAACGGUCCUAAGGUAGCGAAAUUCCUUGUCGGGUAAGUUCCGACCUGCACGAAAGGCGCAACGACUUGGGCGCUGUCUCGACGGGGGGCUCGGCGAAAUUGUAGUACCUGUGAAGAUGCAGGUUACCCGCGACAAGACGGAAAGACCCCAUGGAGCUUUACUGUAGCUUGGUAUUGGAUUUUGGUAUGGAAUGUAUAGGAUAGGUGGGAGACAUAGAAGCCGGGACGCUAGUCUCGGUGGAGUCAACCGUGGAAUACCACUCUUUUCAUGCUAGAAUUCUAACUGGCGACCAUGAAUCUGGUCACAGGACAGUAUCAGGUGGGCAGUUUGACUGGGGCGGUCGCCUCCUAAAAGGUAACGGAGGCGCCCAAAGGUUCCCUCGGUGCGGAUAGAAAUCGCACGAAAGAGUGUAAAGGCAUAAGGGAGCUUAACUGCGAGACAUACAAGUCGAGCAGAUACGAAAGUAGGGCUUAGUGAUCCGGUGGUUCCACGUGGAAGGGCCAUCGCUCAACGGAUAAAAGCUACCCUGGGGAUAACAGGCUUAUCUCCCCCAAGAGUUCACAUCGACGGGGAGGUUUGGCACCUCGAUGUCGGCUCGUCGCAUCCUGGAGCUGGAGAAGGUUCCAAGGGUUGGGCUGUUCGCCCAUUAAAGCGGUACGCGAGCUGGGUUCAGAACGUCGUGAGACAGUUCGGUCCCUAUCUGUCGCGGGCGCAGGAGAUUUGAGAGGAUCUGUCCCUAGUACGAGAGGACCGGGAUGGACGCACCUCUGGCUUACCAGUUGUAUCGCCAGAUGCAUGGCUGGAAACCUAAGUGCGGGACGGAUAAGCGCUGAAAGCAUCUAAGCGCGAAGCCAGCCUCAAGAUAAGAUCUCCCACAGAGUUAAUCUGGUAAGACCCCUCAUAGAUGAUGAGGUUGAUAGGCCGAAAGUGUAAGGAUAGUGAUAUUCUAAGCUGUUCGGUACUAAUGGUUCGAGGGCUUGACCU